GAUGAACGCUGACAGAAUGCUUAACACAUGCAAGUCUACUUGAUCCUUCGGGUGAUGGUGGCGGACGGGUGAGUAACGCGUAAAGAACUUGCCCUGCAGUCUGGGACAACAUUUGGAAACGAAUGCUAAUACCGGAUAUUAUGUGAGUUUCGCAUGAAAUUCAUAUGAAAGCUAUAUGCGCUGCAGGAGAGCUUUGCGUCCUAUUAGCUAGUUGGUGAGGUAACGGCUCACCAAGGCGAUGAUAGGUAGCCGGCCUGAGAGGGUAAACGGCCACAAGGGGACUGACACACGGCCCUUACCCCUACGGGAGGAAGAACGGGGAAAUUUUGGACAAUGGACCAAAAGUCUGAUCCAGCAUUUCUGAGUGCACGAUGAAGUUUUUCGGAAUGAAAAGUGCUUUCAGUUGGAACGAAGAAAGUGACGGUACCAACAGAAGAAGCGACGGCUAAAUACGUGCCAGCCGCCGCCGUAA
rnacentral:rRNA from 1 species